UACGUAGGGGGCUAGCGUUGUCCGGAAUCAUUGGGCGUAAAGAGCGUGUAGGCGGCUCGGUAAGUCCGCUGUGAAAGUCCAGGGCUCAACCCUGGAAUGCCAGUGGAAACUGUCGAGCUAGAGUCCGGAAGAGGCGAGUGGAAUUCCUGGUGUAGCGGUGAAAUUCGUAGAUAUUGGGAAGAACACCGGUGGCGAAGGCGGCUCACUGGCUCAUUUCUGACGCUCAGGCGCGACAGCGUGGGGAUCAAACAGG
rnacentral:rRNA from 1 species